AAGAGUUCACAUAAAAAUGAAUUUUAAGACUUUUGACAAGUUUUCUCUUUUCAUUGUGUUUAUUGUCAGCCUGGGUGUGACUACAACAUUCAGCUGUGAGAAGGAAAUGGCCACACAGAAAGAGACAAAACCAUCAAGGUGGGCGACACUGAUAUUGAAGGAAUAAACAUCAUGGCCUUCAGACAGUCUUCAGUUUCAUCUGAGUGGCAAUGUCAUCACUACUCCUGACCAUAUUCCCACUCUGGGUAAAGCUCUACAAGAGUGACAACCUUGACAAUCCCUUCCAGAGUGUGUCUCUGGGCCAAUCCCUGUUCUUUCACUUUUCCUCCUUGCCACAUGAUGGAG